rnacentral:rRNA from 1 species
GACGAACGCUGGCGGCGUGCUUAACACAUGCCAGUCGAACGGAAAGGCCUCUUUCGGGGGGUACUCGAGUGGCGAACGGGUGAGUAACACGUGAGUAACCUGCCCUUGACUUUGGGAUAACUUCAGGAAACUGGGGCUAAUACCGGAUAGGAGCUCCUGCUGCAUGGUGGGGGUUGGAAAGUUUCGGCGGUUGGGGAUGGACUCGCGGCUUAUCAGCUUGUUGGUGGGGUAGUGGCUUACCAAGGCUUUGACGGGUAGCCGGCCUGAGAGGGUGACCGGCCACAUUGGGACUGAGAUACGGCCCAGACGCCUACGGGAGGCAGCAGUGGGGAAUAUUGCACAAUGGGUGGAAGCCUGAUGCAGCAACGCCGUGUGCGGGAUGACGGCCUUCGGGUUGUAAACCGCUUUCGCUCAUGACGAAGCUUUGUGUGACGGUAGUGGGUAAAGAAGCACCGGCUAACUACGUG